UACGGAAGGCAGCAGUGGGGAAUAUUGCACAAUGGGCGAAAGCCUGAUGCAGCUAUGCCGCGUGUAUGAAGAAGGCCUUAGGGUUGUAAAGUACUUUCAUCGGGGAGGAAAAAACAAAACUAAUAAUUUUAUUUCUUGACGUUACCCGAAAAAGAAGCACCGGCUAACUCCGUGCCAGCAGCCGCGGUAAUACGGAGGGUGCUAGCGUUAAUCAGAAUUACUGGGCGUAAAGAGCACGUAGGUGGUUUUUUUAAGUCAGAUGUGAAAUCCCUGGGCUUAACCUAGGAACUGCAUUUUGAAACUGAAAUACUAGAGUAUCGUAGAGGGAGGUAGAAUUCUAGGUGUAGCGGUGAAAUGCGUAGAUAUCUGGAGGAAUACCUGUGGCGAAAGCGGCCGUCCUAAACGAAUACUGACACUGAGGUGCGAAAGCGUGGGGAGCAAACAGGGAUUAGAUACC
rnacentral:rRNA from 1 species